rnacentral:rRNA from 1 species
AUACGGAGGGUGCAAGCGUUAUUCGGAAUCACUGGGCGUAAAGGACGCGUAGGCGGGUUGGCAAGUCAGAUGUGAAAUCCUACAGCUUAACUGUAGAACUGCAUUUGAAACUGCUAACCUAGAGUAUGGGAGGGGGAGAUGGAAUUAGUGGUGUAGGGGUAAAAUCCGUAGAUAUCACUAGGAAUACCGAAAGCGAAGGCGAUCUCCUGUAACAUAACUGACGCUAAGGCGCGAAAGCGUGGGGAGCAAACAGGAUUAGAAACCCUAGUAGUCC